CCCGCCUCCCGGAGUGCACCACCAUCCCCCCCUGGAAACACUGCAGGAAACAGGGGGGCUCCUUUCCCUGGAGAACUUGGACCUUCCAAUGUAAACAGAGGUAUAAAGACAUAAACAUCAUCUGCUGCCAAAUAAAUCCUAGAAUUUGAGGGUGAUGCUGGGAAGGUAAGAAAUUAGAAGGAGGCAUGUUGCUUUUGCACUUUCAGAUCAAUGGCUGAAUUCCAGACCCGGGAAGCCUUUCAGAUCUGCAUGUAUUUGUUUCAACAAUUGCUGUUCGUCUGCCACAGCAGCACCUGGGACGCCGCAGGGGAACUGGCAGCUUUUCUUGCUCACUUCAAGAAAUCAGCUGUAACAAACCUCUUCCAGAAGACUACAGCAUCCAUAUUUCCACAAUAGUUAGAUAAAAGUUAAAGAACCGUUCCUUUUGUGACUAUUCACAGUCCGCUGCAUAUAACCGUUUAUGAAAACUGAACCCUAUAAAGAGCGAGAGUAGAGGACUGUGGUGAGAACGGAGGGAUCGAAGGGAAUCAGCUCGCUCGGGGAGCCGUCCCCAGGUGGUGGCAGGAGUACCUGGGGAUAAGCGGAUUGCAUUCUCCAGGAUCCAGGGGAUUGAUGUCACAGUUCUCAUAGUCAAAGGUUCCAUUCCAUAAGUGCUUUGCCAGCUGAAAUGCUAUUUUUCGUUGUGCUAAUGUGACUUCUUUCCCAUGCCAUACGUAAACUUCACUACCAAAAUCAAACACCAGUACCUGGGAGAAAUGGCACAAAAGAAUUUGUUAACUUCAAGAACGUGCAACAGUUGAAUCAGGUGCAACAAGGUCUCUGUUGACAGUGACUCAAAUGGAGGAAGACAGAAAUCCCAAUGGGGCGACCAACGCAGACACAAAAAUGCCAGGAGAUCUCAGCUGGCACUGCCCUGCACAAAAUGCCAGGAGAUCUCAGCUGGCACUGCCCCGCCAAGCCAGCCUCCACCCUGGGGGCAUGAUUCCUCCUCCCAGUGUCCUAAGUGGCCAAGAUAAUGUUCCCACCUCUGAACUCUCAAACUGCUAACAACUUGUGAUUCACAAGAGUUCUUUAGGUACAUCAUCCUGUCGACUUCCUCCCUCUCUCCCCUAUUCCUCCCCGUCUCAUGUGUUCAUUCAUUCACUUAAUAUAUACACAGAGGCCACUUCCUAUACGCCAGGCACUCAUGGUCCAAUGGUGUUUUCCCUCCUGUACACAAUUCCAAAAUCCUUAAGGGCAAGGAUCAGAUCAUAACAAUACGCACAGGAGGGGUUGAUUACGAAGUAUUUGCUGAAUGAAUACAUGAAUGUAAUGCUGUUUCUUAUUUUCAUGGUUCAUUUUAUUCUUUCUCCUAGAAUGAUUUCUCCCUUCACUUCCAGCAAUUCAAAUUUUGCUUAACUCUAAACUCGGCUCAAUUUCACUUUCUAUGUAAAAUUAUUCCUGAAAAUUUCUUUUUCUGUGACUUUUCCCUCAUGUAAAUGCCCAUACAUAUUACACAGUCAACCUUGCUCCAGAUUACAUUCCUUUUAAUACUCUUCUGCCCAAUUAAACUUAAAGGCCUGUGUGUCUUCCACUUUCUCAACACUUAGCAUGCUUAAUGGUACUGGAAAUGUAUGUAAUUAAUAAAUAUUUACUAC